rnacentral:rRNA from 1 species
AGCGAACGCUGGCGGCAGGCUUAACACAUGCAAGUCGAGCGGGCACUUUCGGGUGUCAGCGGCGGACGGGUGAGUAACGCGUGGGAACGUGCCCUCUGGUUCGGAAUAACUCAGGGAAACGUGAGCUAAUACCGGAUACGCCCUUUUGGGGAAAGGCUUGCUGCCGGAGGAUCGGCCCGCGUCUGAUUAGCUAGUUGGUGAGGUAACGGCUCGCCAAGGCGACGAUCAGUAGCUGGUCUGAGAGGAUGAUCAGCCACACUGGGACUGAGACACGGCCCAGACUCCUACGGGAGGCAGCAGUGGGGAAUAUUGGACAAUGGGCGCAAGCCUGAUCCAGCCAUGCCGCGUGAGUGAUGAAGGCCUUAGGGUUGUAAAGCUCUUUUAUCCGGGACGAUAAUGACGGUACCGGAGGAAUAAGCCCCGGCUAACUUCGUG